AGUGAACGCUGGCGGUAGGCCUAACACAUGCAAGUCGAACGGCAGCACAGUAAGAGCUUGCUCUUACGGGUGGCGAGUGGCGGACGGGUGAGGAAUACAUCGGAAUCUACUUUUUCGUGGGGGAUAACGUAGGGAAACUUACGCUAAUACCGCAUACGACCUACGGGUGAAAGCAGGGGAUCUUCGGACCUUGCGCGAUUGAAUGAGCCGAUGUCGGAUUAGCUAGUUGGCGGGGUAAAGGCCCACCAAGGCGACGAUCCGUAGCUGGUCUGAGAGGAUGAUCAGCCACACUGGAACUGAGACACGGUCCAGACUCCUCCGGGAGGAAGCAGUGGGGAAUAUUGGACAAUGGGGGCAAGCCUGAUCCAGCCAUACCGCGUGGGUGAAGAAGGCCUUCGGGUUGUAAAGCCCUUUUGUUGGGAAAGAAAAGCAGCAGGUUAAUACCCCGCUGUUCUGACGGUACCCAAAGAAUAAGCACCGGCUAACUUCGUG
rnacentral:rRNA from 1 species